rnacentral:tRNA from 2 species
UGGGGAGUCGUCCAACGGCAGGACACAUCCCUCUGGAGGAUGGUAUCUUGGUUCGAAUCCAGGCUCCCCAG